rnacentral:rRNA from 1 species
ACGCUAGCGGGAGGCCUAACGCAUGCAAGCCGAGCGGUAUUUGUUCUUCGGGACAGAGAGAGCGGCGUACGGGUGCGGAACACGUGUGCAACCUGCCUUUAUCUGGGGGAUAGCCUUUCGAAAGGAAGAUUAAUACCCCAUAAUAUAUUGAAUGGCAUCAUUCGAUAUUGAAAACUCCGGUGGAUAGAGAUGGGCACGCGCUAGAUUAGAUAGUUGGUGAGGUAACGGCUCACCAAGUCAAUGAUCUUUAGGGGGCCUGAGAGGGUGAUCCCCCACACUGGUACUGAGACACGGACCAGACUCCUACGGGAGGCAGCAGUGAGGAAUAUUGGACAAUGGGUGCAAGCCUGAUCCAGCCAUCCCGCGUGAAGGACUAAGGCCCUAUGGGUUGUAAACUUCUUUUAUACUGGGAUAAACCUACUUACGUGUAAGUAGCUGAAGGUACAGUAUGAAUAAGCACCGGCUAACUCCGUGCCAGCAGCCGCGGUAAUACGGAGGGUGCAAGCGUUAUCCGGAUUUAUUGGGUUUAAAGGGUCCGUAGGCGGAUUCGUAAGUCAGUGGUGAAAUCUCAUAGCUUAACUAUGAAACUGCCAUUGAUACUGCGAGUCUUGAGUGAGAUUGAGGUAGCUGGAAUAAGUAGUGUAGCGGUGAAAUGCAUAGAUAUUACUUAGAACACCAAUUGCGAGGGCAGGUUACCAAGUCUUAACUGACGCUGAGGGACGAAAGCGUGGGGAGCGAAC